rnacentral:lncRNA from 1 species
UGGAAGCUGUACUCAGAUGCCCCAGGACUGUUACUGCAAAAACACGAGGCGUGAAACACCCUUUCCAUGCUCCGUGUCAGCCUGGGUUCCAGAAUGCACGUUUGUCAGACACCUGAGCUUCUGCGCUUUGCCUCCGGCUCCCUCCUCCCUCCCUGCUUCCUUCCACUGUGCCAGGUCCCUCCCACUACAUUUGGCUCCCUGAAAUAUAGUCUCAUUUCACUGCCAGGCCUCUGUGAUUUACUGCGCGUGAGCAUCACCGCGGAGCAAGGAAGACAUUCUUCAUUUUUCUAUGUGACGCACGAGGAGCCAUAAAAGUUGAAGAUGAGUGCUUGUGAGCCUAACGACACAUGUCCCAUCCCGUCAAGGAUUCUUGCCAUUGGAACCCAGCCACCAUGUUAUGAAAAAGCCCAGGCAGCAAUGGGAGGCCCUGUGUGGAUGUUUCAGCCAAAAGCCUCAGCUGAAGUAUCAGCCAACGGUUAGCAUCGACCAUCAGUUAUGUGGGUGAAUGAACCUUCAGAUGAUUCCAGCCCCCAGUCUUCAAGCCACCCUACUGAUGCUGAGUGGAGCAGAGAUAAGCUGUUCCCACUUCGUCCUGCCCAAAUUACAGAGCUGUGAGCAGAAUAAGUGUUAUCAUUGCUUUAAGUCUCUAAGUUUUGGAGUAAUUUGGAACACAUGCAUGUUAGAACCUUUGCAGUAUUUACCUGGUUUGGAUGGUGACAGAUUUUCUAAUAAAGUACUACAUUCGAAUCUGCGGAAAAUGUAAAUAAUGCACUAGUUUUAGUUUAUGACUUGUAUCAAUUAUAAAAAUUAUCUUCAUAGAUUAGUAUCUAGAAAGUAGGCUUCAUAUAUACAUAAAAAUGAAUGCAUGUGAAAUUGAAAGCUGUUUUCCAGUAAAAACUACAGAAAGGACUUAUAAUUUUUGGAUCUGCUCAUAGUUGCUUGGGAGAAGCCUAGGGGUCACCAGUAGGCUAUGGACGAUUCAUUGUGAAACAACAAUCAAAAUUGAUAGCUCUCAAAACAAGACCCCUAUCUUUGGCCUCUAGUAAGAUCUCCAUUCACGAAUCUCUACAAUCUCUCCCUUCCUGCACUUUCUAUCGUACUUUGUCUUUAUCGUAUCGUAAUCUCAAACAAAAAAGGAAAGUGCCCAGAAUAAGAUGAAAAACUUACAUGUAGCCAUUGCCGCAAAUACACAGAUUAGCAUUUAACCAACUUUAUCGCGUAGCUGAAAUGUCUUUCAAGAGCUAACAUUACAGACAUAGUUCUAGCCUUCUUUGGACUCUUUUGACCUCAUUUUCCUCUUUUUCUUUUCACCAGAGAGAGCUACGCACCGUCCUGAAACUGGUGUUUCCUUCCCAUCCGUGUUCUAUCUCAGUGUUUACCAGCGUGUUCUAGAACAUUCCAACUGUACUGAGCUCGAGGCCCAGCACCCAACUCAAAGAGCAACCAGGGAAAUCAGUGCACAGUGUCUGCAAAGCGCACAGCUAGCUGAAAUGCUGACUCACAUGGUGGCUAGGGCACAGGCAGAGGGUAGCGCUUCCGAUUGUUCCUUUAGAGAAUUGCUGCAUUUGUAAGUGAGGUUUGAGCAGCACUUACACGCAGAUAGUUUUGCUGACUGACAAGAAGAUGUGGCAGCUUUUAGGUACGUGGAUCGGGUGGAGAGGGCUGGGGGAGGCUUGAUCACGGCUAUCCGUGGAUGACAGCGGUUCUUUCCACAGGGUGAUAGAGGCUCUAUCCAGAAGCUGAGGCCAGCUUUCGUGAGGACAUGUGUGAGAUGCUGGGUGAGCCGUGCUGCUUCAGAACCCAGACGACAAAAUUUCGGAGAUCUAAACGUAUCCAGGGAAGUAGAAGAAAUCACUCCAGGAGAGGGCACAUUCCCUAUUACAAAUGGGAAUGCAUGAUGAUAGGAAACAAUGUAAAGCUCAGGGUUCCUCAUCUCUACAAGGCUGCUGCAAAACGACUGGCAAUGCCAAUCCAGAAAAUGCUGCCCUCUGCAUGUCAAAGAGGAUCUUCUGCCUCUGACAACUCAAAGGGAAAGGAGAGAGGGGUGAAGAGCAUCCCUUGCAGAUGGUAGCCAGAGAUGCCUCCCAGGGUCCUUUGCUUCCUCCCCCAGCAGGGAUCAACAGGUCUUCCACCGCAUCAUAAAAGCUAAGAUGUGCUGGCUCAGAGGCCUUCAUAAUUUGAUCACACAAUUACUAGGAGGGAAGGGUCGGUGCUUUAUGGCCAUCAGCUGCGUGGGCACCCUUUCCAUUACCAUCAGUGCUGGGUCAUAAUGAAAAAUGGGCAUGAUGCUAUUCAUUUGAGAGAUCUUUAAGGAUGAGGCUUUCUGGGCUGGUUUCCUGAUGGAUUUUUUUUGGUAAUGUCACAGUAUUCUGCGAGGCCCUCACAUGCCUCUUGCUUUACCUCCCUUGGAGAAUAAACGAACUUCAAAGGACACCUGCUUCUGAUUUAUGGUUCAGCCCAGGCCCUUGGCUUUGGCUCUUUCUCCUUCCAAACCAAGGGCUUUCAGGAUGAGAGGGCUGUGGGACUCAGCGACUCUGGGUGAGGGUGCUGGGGCAGUGCCAUCCUCCACCCUGCCGCCUGGUGGGGUUCCCGCCCUUGGCUGGACCUCCAGGCUUGCUUCCUUCCUCCCAGCUUCCUGCAUGGGGCUCCAGCGGCUGCCUGCUCAGUGGAAGAAAGUGCUCUGGGAGGAGGGAGGUCUGGUCUUCAGUCAGGGCUUCAGGUCCCGUGAGAACUUCCAAACCUGCUUGGAGGCCCUUUGUAGGGGCGUGUGGGAUUCCCAGUGUCUGCAGAGAAGAGGAGAC